CAUACACACAGGAUGCUUAAUUAAAUUUGAAUUCCAGAUAAACAGUGAGUGAUUUUUUAGUGUAAGUGAAUCCCAUGCAAUAUUCUGGACAUAUUCAUAAUAAGCAUUAUUUGUUGUAUGUCUGUAUCUGAAAUUCAGGUUCAACUGAAUUUGAUCAGUUUAUCCUGUAUUCCAUCAGACAACCCUAGUUCCCAUGGAAUUUCUUGGUCAGGAUAUCCUAAGAGACAUACCUUGACUCUUGACUCUCAGAACCCAGUCUGGAACUCUUCCAGUGUUGACGUCAACAUCUCGGCUUGUUACUGUUCACAGCACUGUGCUAGGGUCUUUGAGGGGUUCCACAGGAAGACCAGUAAUGAUCCCUGCUCCUGGGGGUUCUCCAUAACAGGAGGUACACAGCCAGUCAUGGAGGAACAGAUGUUACCACCAGGAAACAUGGAAAACAUAGACAAAGAAGAAAGGAAGAGAAAUCAGCAAAGAAAAUCAUUCCUCAACUGUGGGACAACUGCUGUUGACAUGUAGGUCUAGUGACAUCAUCCAAGCUAUUCACGUUGGAAUUUGCUGGGCAAGUGGGAAACAGUGGAGAAAAAUUUCAAG